CAAUCUUUCUGCUUGUUUUUUUUUCUCCGAGAUCUUUGCAAAUGCUGUGAGCAAAUAAAUGGUCAAAUUUUCCCAUGAACUGUAUACUUAUAUAUUUUAAGAACAUAGAUAUUCCCUUCAGUAACUAUAUUGUACCAAAGAAAAUGGCUCAUGAAUACAAAAAUUUGAAUGUAAACAGGAAGUUCGUUGUUCAUGUUGUUGGAGGCAAAUGGAGCUAACUUGAAACUCUAAAAUGCUUUUAGAGAGAUAUCAGAUGAAAGAAUGUGCAUAUAUCUAGUUAUUAGAGGUAUGCCUAUUAUGUAUGAAUUGAUGUAGUUGGAGAAAUCAGAUCGCUUCAGUGCAUGACUAUGCUACAGGAUGAUACAAGAUCACAGACAGAAAUUCGAUCAAGGAUCAAACAUAAAUUACAUAAUACUUCCACUAAAUUAAAUGGUUGGAAUGAAGUUCCUGACCCUGGUGAUGGUUUUGGAAAAGCUAAGAGACAUUCUGAUGCCACCUUAUAUUGAGACUACAAUACUCCAAAAUAAUUUUGUUGUAUUCAUAAUUUUCUAUCAAAUAAUCUUUUAGUUUAAUUUUCAAGUUUAAGCUAAGUGAAUUUUUAUCAUUCUUAACCACAAGUGUAAAAGCUGCUGGCAGAUGUGUUAUUCCCCUUUGAAUUUUAUUCUUUUUGUGUUCUUUGAAACCCAGAUCUGUCUCAAUAUUAGAUUAAAAUAAUUUUGUAAUGAUAUUGUUUCUUCUUUUUUUUGUUUUGUGUCAAUAUCAGCAAUGUUAUCCAAUGGUUUUCCAUCAAACCUUUCCAAACUUUUGCAAAGAAUUCUUCUAAAAAUUCCUUCAACUUUAAUGCGAUGA